rnacentral:rRNA from 1 species
UACGUAGGGGGCAAGCGUUGUCCGGAUUUAUUGGGCGUAAAGCGCUCGCAGGUGGUUUGUCGCGUCGUGCGUGAAAGCCCCCGGCUCAACUGGGGAGGGUCGUGCGAUACGGGCGAACUGGAGGCCAGUAGGGGGAUGCGGAAUUCCGGGUGUAGUGGUGGAAUGCGUAGAGAUCCGGAGGAACACCAGCGGCGAAGGCGGCAUCCUGGACUGGUCCUGACACUCAGGAGCGAAAGCGUGGGGAGCGAUCCGG